AGGUUAAAAUAUUAAGGGCACACGAAGGAUGCCUAGGAAGUAAGAGCCGAUGAAGGACGUGGUAAGCUGCGAUAAGCUUGGUGGAGUUGCAAUCGAACUGUGAUGCCAAGAUUUCCGAAUGGAGAAAUCUGCUAAGAUGGAGUCUUAGCACGAAAGAGGGAACCGCGUGAACUGAAACAUCUAAGUAACGCGAGGAAAAGAAAGUAAAAACGAUCCCCUAAGUAGCGGCGAGCGAACGGGGGUGAGCCCAAACCGUAGAUGUGCCAAGGAUGCAGCCGUUGCAUCUACGGGGUAGCGGGAAGAUCGUCUGAAGAACUGCAAGGUAUUCGACAUUAUGAUACGCCGAGCUGGAAAGGUCUGGAAAGGCCUGCCAUAGAGAGUGAAAGCCUCGUACAGGUAAACCGUAUCAAAUGUAUGAUCUCUCCCAAGUAGCACGGAACACGAGGAAUUCUGUGUGAAUCUGCGAGGACCAUAUCUCGUAAGGCUAAAUACUCUUACUUACCGAUAGCGCAUAGUACCGUGAGGGAAAGGUGAAAAGAACCCCGGGAG
rnacentral:rRNA from 1 species